AUUGAACGCUAGCGGGAUGCUUUACACAUGCAAGUCGAACGGAGUGGCGGACGGGUGAGUAAUAUAUAGGAACGUGCCCAGUAGCGGGGGAUAACUACUCGAAAGAGUGGCUAAUACCGCAUACCAUUGAAGCUGCCGAUAGCGGAUUAGAUAGUUGGUGGGGUAAAGGCUCACCAAGGCAACGAUCCGUAGCUGGUUUGAGAGGACGACCAGCCGCACUGGGACUCAGACACGGCCCCGACUCCCUCGCGAGGCAGCAGUGGGGAAUUUUGCACGAUGGGGGAAACCGUGGUACAGCCGUCCCGAGUGUUUGAUGAAGGCCUUCGGGUUGUAAAGUACUUUUGGCAGAGAAUCGGUAUCUGCAGAAUAAGCCCCGGCUGACUACGUGCCAGCAGCCGCGGUAAUAC
rnacentral:rRNA from 1 species